rnacentral:rRNA from 1 species
GUCUUUUAGUUUAGAAUUUAAAGUCUAACCUGCCCAAUGAAGAUUUUAAUGGCCGCAGUAUUUUGACUGUGCAAAGGUAGCAUAAUCAUUAGUUUUUUAAUUGAAAACUGGAAUGAAAGGUUGAACGAGAAAAUAACUGUCUCUUUAUAAUUUUAUAUAAUUUUAUUUUUAAGUUAAAAAGCUUAAAUUUUUUUAAAAGACGAGAAGACCCUAUAGAGUUUUAUUAAUUAUUUAAUAAUAAAUAAUUAGUAAUAUACAAAUUUUAUUAUUUAAUUAAUUUGGUUGGGGUGAUUGGAAAAUUUAAUUAACUUUUUUUUUAUAAUUACAUUAAUAUAUGAUUUAUUGAUCCAUAGUUUAUGAUUAUAAGAUUAAAUUACCUUAGGGAUAACAGCGUAAUUUCUUAUAAGAGUUCAAAUCGAUUAAGAAGUUUGCGACCUCGAUGUUGGAUUAAAAUUAAUUCUUGGUGUAGCAGCUAAGAUAUUAGGUCUGUUCGACCUUUAAAAUUUUACAUGAUCUGAGUUUAAACCGGUGUAAGCCAGGUUGGUUUCUAUCUUUAAAAAAUUAAUAUAUUUUAGUACGAAAGGACCUAGUAAAUUAAAAAUUUUAUUUAUAUUGAAUAUUAAUAAGGU